rnacentral:lncRNA from 1 species
CAAACCUAACUGCUGAUGAUGCGACUGUUGGCCCCGAAACAGAAACAAGCCAUGAGCAGCCUGAUGCAGCCCAACGGUUGGCUGUGAUAACAUGUGCACCGACUGCUGGUUAGUCUGGGAACUGAGCAACUGAUGUUGUGGUUGCUGCAGUCCUGCAACACUUCUUUGAGUGCCCAAUGGUUGCUGAUGAAGGCUGUUUUGUUGAGACAUCAAAUGCUGUGGCAACGGAUUUCUCCAGUCACCAGGUUCUCCUUUUGGAACGGAAGGUCUCCAAUUGUUGUUAUCCAUCACCUGUUCCUUACGACCACACACAAGACAAUCCGAUUUUAUGCCAAGAUUCAGAGCAGCUAGGCUAAUAAUGAUAGCAAGUUUGAGCCACGGAAUCACCAAUUCCAAAGAAAAUUAAAAUCAGUUGACUUCACUGAUCAGUCAAUUUUUUUCAUUUCUGUUUGCUAUUGGUAGCAAGAAAGAGACAGAGUCAACCUCAAAGUAGCAUAUCCGAGAAAACGAGUAAGCUCAAUCACACCAACAAAGUCAAAUCUAUUCUCCUAAAUAGUAUUAAGAACCGAGAACCACAAUCAAUAAAGCUUGAUGGGCUAUAUAGUAGUAUGUCUUCACGAGACUCCCGAUCCACAAGAUUUGAAAAUUUAACUUGUAUUAAACUUGUAUCAUUCGCUCCAACAUUGUCUUUAAUUGUUUCAAUCUAUUAAACUGCAGAGAUCUUUGUUGAUGCGGAAAAUAAUUCUGCUCGAGACAAAAAAAAGAAUGUUUUCAACAAGAAAGAGACGAGCACAUAGAUUGCAAGCUAAAGGAACAUAAAUAUCCGAUGUUUACUUUCUAGUGGACAGUAAAAAUACGAGCAUCUUUUGGUGCAAUGGUUUUCAAGAUGCCAAAGUUGUAUGACUUUCUUUUGCAAUAUCGAACCGGUCUUGCAUUGAAUUCAUAGGGAAUUCUCGCUCAGAUACUCUACUGAUUCGGAGGACAUACACUCUACUCUCCUAGAAAAAUAUAUCGCAACUUACUUGCUGCAACUUGGCUGCAACUCUCUGUUUGACUUCUUUUAGAUCUGAUAAGUACGUAUCUCUCAAAGUUUUGAUCUGCAAAGACAAGCACAAAGAUCACACGGUUACUCAUUACGAUGAUAACAAAAUAAGAUCACCUGCCGUGCUGCAUUUAUCUCUUUUAGAUUUAAUAAACGUAGACAGAAUAGGUAUAUAGAUAGCAAACUUAUUUAAUCUCCCCCAAACACUUAUGAGUACUGACGGCAAGACUAAGAGGCCUGAAGCAUUACCCAAACUAGUAAGAAAAACUACCUUUUGGUAAACCUCCUCUUGCCAAUCAACAGCAUUUCCACUUUCCGUCUGUGCCAUGGAGUUUAACAAUGCUACAAUUUAUAAAAAUGGGGUUUGUUCAGCAUCAGAUCCAGCUGAGGGAUUAACUUAUGUAAAGUAUUCACAAGGAUGUAAACGCAUACACACAGGAUGGAAUCUCUGGAAGGGUUUGUCUCUGUUGGUCCACUACAUUUUGAGGUGGAAGCAGGGAACCUGUGAAUUGGCCUGAAGAUUGUAGCCUUUGUAGCAGAUUAGGUUGUUGUAACUGCUGAUGAUGCGACUGAAGGGGCAUCAUCAGCUGCUGCUGGGAUGGCUGAUUUUGUGACUGUUGGCCUUGAGAAGAAAACACAACAUGAGAUGAUUGUUGGGGAAGCUCCCCUUGCUGAACUGGAUUCCUCGGCCUUAGCAUAUUUACCAAAUCUAUAGUCUGCUUCUCAUAGAUAGCCACCUUAUCCCUUAAUGCAGGUAUGACAUCUCUCUUUGACACCGAUAGGAAUAGUAUCAUUCGCUCCACCGCUGCCUUGAACUGUUUCAAUUUCUCAAACUGCUCUGAUCUUCGUUGCCGCGGAAGAGAACCCAUCUGGGGAGAAAAAAGGAAUGUGCUCAAUAGGAAAAGAGACAAGCACAUAGAUGCAAGCUACAACCUUUGUCAGUUUGGGAAGGAAAAUAAAUAUCCGACAAUUACUUUCCACCGGACAGUAAAAAUACCAAAUUUGUAUGACUUUCUUUUGCAAUAUCGAAUUGGUCUUGCAUAGAAACUCUCGCAGGUACUACUGUUCUGGAGGACAUACACACUACUCUCUUAGAAAAAAAACUUACUUGCUGCACCCUGGAUGCAGCUCUCUGAUAGAUUACGGCAAGAUCAGGUAAGUACGCUUCUUGUAUAGUUUUGAUCUGCAAAGACAAAGCACCAUGGACACACACGAUUACUCAUUACAAUGAUAUUUAUGUAAGAUCGCCUGUCGUGUUGCAUAUAUAUACAGCAAACUUAGUUGACAGCAAGACUAAGAAGCCGGAAGCAUUAUCCAAAUUAGAAAAAAAGAAAACUACCUUUUGGAAAACCUCCUCUUGCCAAUCAACCGCAUUUCCACUUUCCGUCUGUGCCGUGGAGUCUAGCGAUGUUACAAUUAAUUAAAAAAAAAAGGUUUUGUUGAGCAUCAGAUCCUAAAGUAUUCACAAGGAUGUAAAGGCAUACAUGAUGGAAUCUCCGGAAGGGUUCUUUGGGAUUGAUACAGUUGUUGUCUCUGUUGGUCUCCUGAAGGCCUCCAAUUGUUGUUAUCCAUCUAACUGUUCCCUACGGUUACAAAAAUCUACAGAAAACAAACGACCACACACAGAGAUGAAUUAUAUUGACAAGAAUCAGAGCAGCCAAAGGCUAAUCCUAACAAGUUUGAGACACGGAAUCACCAACCAACCCUAAUAGAGAAUCAAAACCAAAUUUUUCAUUUUUGUUUACUCUUGUUAACAAAAAGCGACAGACUCAAAACCUCAAAGUAGCAUAUCGUAAAACGAGUAAGCAUACUGUGUCAAUCAUACCAAAAAAAAAAGUUAAUCUAUUAUCCUAAAUAGUAUGAGAACCAAGAACCACAAUCUGUAAAGCGCGAUAGCUAGAUAAUAUGUCUUCUCGAGACUUCUAAUCACAAGAGAAAACGAGAUUCGAAAAUUUCACCUCGAGGCGACUUCACGGUUUGUUACAAAGGAGUAGGAUUGAUCGGGAUGAAGAAGUAAAGGAUGACCAAGUUUUCAAUGUCGUCGCGCAGCUUUUAAAUUACCAAAAAACCCCUACAAUUAAUGAUAAAUUACUGUAUAAUAUUGUCAAGUGUCAACUACAAGUUCACUAAACCCCAAAUUUAAUUGACCCGCCAAUAUAUUGUUUUCAUUCAUAAAAUUAUGCAAACUGAGAUACAUUGGAUGCGUUGAUGGAAUACAAAGCUGGCAUGUGCUUUAAAACUUUCAAUUGAUGUUUUGAUGUUGGAGAAACCAGAAAUCAUCCCAAUUCCCAAUGGCAUACACUCGACCAUGUAUGUUUAUUCAUGCCUUUUCUUGUUUUUUUUUUUUUAACUCUUCAAGGUGUGUUCUUUAUAUACAAAUAUAAAGUAUAUGUAUAUGGACUUGCUUUCCUUAGGAUGUUUUACGCCGUUUUGAAAACUCCUCUUGUUUGAUUUCGCUUCCCUCUUCCAUACUCUGCAUCCUUGAGGAUAUUUUGCUCAGGUAAUUGAUAGGCUCAAGAGGGUUUACUAUCGUAAGAAGAAGGGAAAAGAAGCAACAGAAGAAGGGUGUUGAUUAGUAAAGGAGCGUGAGCAAUAAGGAAGAAGUGGGAAACCUUCUAUUUCGAGUAGAGUGUUUGCAGUUACAACGGUUAGUUGAGCUGAGAGCUAGUAUAAAUAAGAGUCUGUAACUCGUAGAGAGGUAUGCUUUUUGUUGUAGUUUGUUAUGGACGUUAUGAGUCUGUACUUCUCAAUCGAGAUGAGAUUGAGGAUCUAGAGUGAAACUCGCCAUGAGAGUGUAGCUCGAGAUCACACAACAAAGCUAGCUAUCUUGUACUUCGUUAUUCAAUACAGAAGAGUAUUAUUCAGUUACAUAGAUCGAAAGUCUAUCACUGGUGCGGCGAAACUGGUCGAGAUCACGAGAUCAGAGCGCGAUGGUGGAGACGAGGAACGGCAGUGAUCGCGAGAAGGCGAUAGUUGCAGAACCAACGAAAACGAUGGAUCUCCAGCGGAUUCAAGACGAUAUGGAUUUGAUGAAGCUCCGUUACGAUACGAUGGCUCGAAGCGAUCGAUCGACGACGACGAGGCUAGAUUCGAUGACGACGAAGGUUGAUUCCGUGGAAAAGAAGAUUGAAGCGAUAGGCGUUGAAUCCACAGCAAGAUUCGAGACUUUGGAGAAGAAGAUGACUGAUAUCGCCAAUCUACUGACGCGAUUAGAAGAUACAGCAGUCUUCAACCAACGUCCGGGGAAAGAGAUUGCCUCUCCGUCGCAUACUCGCGUCGAUCAGGUACCGAUCACGAUCUCUGAACCGGGAACAUCUCCAACUCCGUUAGGUUAUCGGGGAAUACAAGGAACUCUUGCGAAUCGUGAUAAAUUGUUGAGGAAAAUUGAAAUGCCUGUAUUCUCUGGUCCAUUGCCGUUCGAUUGGAUUUCUCGAGUUGAGAGAUUUUUCAGGUACGGGAACUACAAUGAAGAGGAGAAGUUGUAUUUGGUAUCAUUGAGUUUAGAAGGUCCAGUGUUGCAGUGGUUUAAUGGUGAGAUUAUCAGUGAUCCGUUUGCGAAUUGGGGAGAGUUUACAAGGAGGAUGUUAGACAGAUUUGGGGGUCCAAUCGAUAAUGAUCCAGCGGCAAGGUUGUUCUGUUUACAGCAAGAAGGAGACAUUGUUGAUUACGUCAAUGAAUUUGAGGCUUUGAGGAAUCAAGUGACAGGGAUCGAUGAAAGGAACUUGAUUAAGGUGUUCUUCAACGGGUUGAAAUCAGAAAUGAAAGAGGUGAUCCGCAUGAAGGAACCAGUAACUUUGACAGAUCACAAACUGGCGGUAUUAAAGAUGCAGAGCACAGCUUUCUGUAAAGUGGUUAGUGUUGCGUCUGGGGGUGAAGGACAAAAAGGUUCUCAACGUCAUUUCAGCAAUGCUCGUUCUGGCAACUAUGUCAAUAAACCAUCAGGGGAGAAUGUGAAAAGCAUUACAGGAGAUAAGAAAGAGAACAUUCCUCCUCAACGUGCCAACACAAGACCAAGAUUACAAUUUUCGGAUGCGGAACUCGAUCGCAUGAGAAAGGACAAGGUCUGCUUUAGAUGUCAAGCACCUUGGACUCCAGCUCACAGGAUGGAGUGUCCGAAUCGCCAAUUACGAGUGUUAACGGUGAUCAAUGGAUUGGAGCUUGAGGUUAUUGACACAAAUGAAGAAGAAGAGCUACUACAUAAACAAGACCAACAAGUUCUCCAUACAUUGUCGCUUAAUUCGUAUUUGGGCAUUGAAUCCCCAAAGACAACUAAGAUGCGGGGAUACAUAUGCAAUCAAGAGGUGAUAGUCAUGCUCGAUAGCGGAGCAUCCCACAACUUCAUCUCACCCGAAGUUGUGGCCAAGCUGCGAUUGAAAGUUUCUGCAGAUAACAGCUUGAACGUGUUGUUGGGUAACGGGGUGACUGUGAACGCUGUGGGAACUUGCCAAGCAGUCACUUUCCAGUUAAACAAAACCAACUUCAUAAGUGACUUCAUCUCUCUAGAACUGGGAAACGUCGAUGUGAUACUCGGUAUUCAGUGGCUUGAAACCUUAGGCAAGUGCGAAGUGGACUGGAAGGAGCAGGUCCUUUCCUUUGUCUAUAACGGGAACAAGGUGACUUUGUUUGGGGAGAAGACCCUGCAUUGCACCAAGUUCUCCUUCAAGUCAUUGAAACCAGUCUUUAGAACUAGCAAGUCAGGAAGAGAAGUGCUGCUUGCUACUUCUACUGCUACAUCGUCGACUCCAGAUAUUUCACCAAAGUUCUCACUGCUACUCCAAGAAUUUGAAGACGUUUUUGCGAUUCCAACUUCAUUACCUCCACUCAGAGGAAGUGAACACGCAAUUACACUAAAACCCGGAGUUAAUGCAGUAUCUGUUCGACCUUAUAGGUACCCACAUGCCAGCAAAGUGGCCAUGGAACAGAUGGUGAACGAUAUGCUAGUGUCGGGUAUCAUACGCCCAAGCACUAGCCCCUUCUCUAGCCCGGUGUUACUUGUCAAAAAGAAGGACGGUUCUCUUCGCUUUUGCGUUGAUUACAGGUCACUCAACAGAGCUACAGUGCUGGACAAGUACCCAAUACCGGUUAUUGAUCAACUUUUGGAUGAACUUCAUGGAGCCUCUGUGUUUUCGAAACUGGACCUCCGUUCCGGUUAUCAUCAGAUCAGAAUGAUGGAAGAAGACAUCCCUAAAACCGCGUUCAGAACAGUGGAAGGUCACUACGAGUUCUUAGUAAUGCCGUUUGGCUUAACUAACGCACCGGCGACUUUCCAAGCACUGAUGAACAAAGUUUUUAAACCCUUUCUCCGUAAAUUUGUACUGGUGUUCUUUGAUGAUAUUCUGAUCUACAGUAAGGAUCAUCAGUCUCACGAACAACAUUUGCGGUUAGUGUUACAAGCUUUGCGGGACCAGAAGUUGUUUGCCAACCAGAAGAAAUGUUCUUUCGGUGUGUCUUCUGUGGAGUAUUUGGGUCACAUGAUUUCGGUGGAGGGUGUAGCGACAGAUUCUGCUAAGAUCAGUGCAAUGCAGGAAUGGCCAGAACCGAAGACAGUGAAACAACUGCGUGGAUUUUUGGGCUUGACAGGGUACUAUCGGAAGUUCAUCAGAGACUAUGGCAGCAUUGGUCGACCACUGACGGUUUUAUUAAAGAAUGAUCAGUUUUGCUGGUCACAGUUAGCACAAGAAGCGUUUGAUAGAUUGAAGUAUGCAAUGGUUCAUGCACCGGUGUUGGCUUUACCGGAUUUUGAAAAGACAUUUGUUAUUGAGUCAGAUGCAUCAGGAUUUGGGUUGGGAGCAGUAUUGAUGCAAGAUAAAAGGCCUAUAGCGUUUUUCAGCCAUGCUUUGACGCCACGAGAACAGCUAAAACCAGCUUAUGAGAGGGAGCUCAUGGCCAUUGUUAUGGCUAUACGUAAAUGGAAGCAUUAUCUUUUGGGCAGAAAAUUUCAGGUGCAUACAGAUCAAAGAAGUCUCAAGUUUUUGUUGGAACAGAAGGAGGUGAAUUUGGAGUAUCAAAAAUGGUUAACAAAGAUUUUGGGAUUUGAUUUUGAGAUAUUCUACAAACCUGGAUUGGAGAACAAGGCAGCUGAUGGGUUGUCAAGGUCAAUGUCAAUUUCUACAUUGCUAUUGUCUCUAACGGUUCCAACGGCUUUACAAUGGGAAGAUCUAUUCAAGGAGAUUAGGGAGAAUAAGGCGUUACAAGAGACUAUUAAGAAGAUUCAAACGGGUGAUUUAAAGUCUAAGAAGUACCAAGUGAUUGAGGGAAGGCUGUGGUCGAAGCGUCGCUUGGUUAUUCCGAGAUCUUCACAUUUCAUUCCGGUGAUUCUAAAGGAGGCACAUGACAGCAAAGUGGGUGGUCAUUCGGGAGUGUUAAAAACGGUUAAACGGGUGCAGUGCUCAUUUUUUUGGAAGGGAAUGUUCAAGCAGAUUCAGGAGUAUGUGGCUUCUUGUAGCGUGUGUCAGACGCAUAAACAUUCUACACUUUCACCUGCAGGGUUACUUCAGCCUCUACCUAUUCCGGAUCGUGUGUGGGAAGACAUUAAUAUGGAUUUCAUUGAAGGACUUCCAACAUCGAAUGGCUUCAAUGUGAUCUUAGUGGUGAUUGAUCGUUUGAGUAAGUUCGCACAUUUCGUGAGUCUGAAACACCCUUUUACAGCGCUGGAUGUGGCAAAGAAGUUUGUCUCUGAGAUUGUUCGCUUGCACGGAUUUCCGAAGAGCAUCGUCUCUGACAGAGAUAGAAUUUUCUUGAGUUCAUUUUGGACUGAAGUAUUUCGUUUAGCAGGAACUACAUUGAAGUAUAGUACGGCUUUUCAUCCACAAACAGAUGGUCAGUCCGAAGUCUUAAACCGAUGUUUGGAGACAUAUUUGAGGUGCUUCAGUUCUUCUCAUCCGAGGUCCUGGCAUGCUUAUUUGGCGUGGGCAGAGUUGUGGUAUAAUACCACAUACCACAAGUCACUGCAAACGACUCCGUUCAAAGUACUUUAUGGCAGAGAUCCUCCUCCUUUGUUACGUUUUGAACCUGGUUCUACGGCUAACUUCGAGCUGGAUGUUGCGUUACGUGAACGUGAUGAGAUGUUGGAUGAUCUGAAGCAGAAUCUUUUGCGGGCACAGGAGAUUAUGAAGCAGCAGGCUGAUAAGUCACGGAGGGAUGUAGAGUUCAAGGAGGGCGAUAUGGUUUACUUGAAGCUGCAGCCUUACAGACAGAAAACAGUAGCACGACGUUUUUGUCAAAAACUGGCUGCCAAAUAUUAUGGACCAUAUAAGAUCAUUGCGAGAGUUGGGAUGACAGCUUAUAAGCUACUCUUACCAGACAAGGCUCGUGUCCAUCCUGUAUUUCAUAUCUCUCAGUUAAAAUUGGCGUUGGGUUCGCAGGAGCAGAGUACCGCGUUACCUCCGGGAGCCAUUGUUACAGCAGAAGAAACUUUGGAACCUGGAGAGGUAUUGGACAAGCGUUAUGGGACGAAGGGAGAGUUGGAACUGCUGGUUCAUUGGAGUGGGAAGUCGUCUCUUGAAGAUUCAUGGAUGUCGUUGGAGGAGUUUCGUGGGUGUUUUCCUUCGUACCAGCUUGAGGGCAAGCUGGAUUUCGUUGGGGGAAGUAUUGAUAGGCUCAAGAGGGUUUACUAUCGUAAGAAGAAGGGAAAAGAAGCAACAGAAGAAGGGUGUUGAUUAGUAAAGGAGCGUGAGCAAUAAGGAAGAAGUGGGAAACCUUCUAUUUCGAGUAGAGUGUUUGCAGUUACAACGGUUAGUUGAGCUGAGAGCUAGUAUAAAUAAGAGUCUGUAACUCGUAGAGAGGUAUGCUUUUUGUUGUAGUUUGUUAUGGACGUUAUGAGUCUGUACUUCUCAAUCGAGAUGAGAUUGAGGAUCUAGAGUGAAACUCGCCAUGAGAGUGUAGCUCGAGAUCACACAACAAAGCUAGCUAUCUUGUACUUCGUUAUUCAAUACAGAAGAGUAUUAUUCAGUUACAUAGAUCGAAAGUCUAUCAGUAAUCCACCUGAAACUCGAAAUGAACACACAACAUCAAGAACGAAAUAAGGGGUGGAUGAUAUCAAGGAUGAAUGAACACGUUGAGGUUAAUAAAGAAAAAUAAAAAGUGAAACCUGACUUGUCGCGGUGUUGAAAAUUAACUCCUCGAAGCUGACAGCAACUCUCAUGAGCUCUUCGAUUCCUUCUUUCCCAGAAUAUGGAAUAUGUUUCUUCAGUGUUUCCAAUCUACUCAAAUGACAAAAGUAACUUGUCUAUCUAUAAGCAUAUUCAUAGGGUCAAAGCAAUACAACAAAACUUUGUGAAACAUUCUACUUCUACAGAAUUUUGAUCAUUAAAUUGACUUAGGAAUGACAAAAGAGUAGCAAGAGUGAGAAAAUAUGACAAAUUUGGAAGAGGGACAAAACUCACAGUGUGUUGACAUUCUUCUGGCGUGAACCUGGUGGAUGUUGAGUUCUCCAGUCACCUCUGUUUAUGCCAAGAUUACCUAUGUGGACAAAGCAAAGUGUUUGCAUUAAAUUCAUAGAAAUUCUCCCAGCUACUAGUGUUUCGGAGGACAUACACACACUACUCUCUUAGAGAAAAAAAACAUCGUAACGUACUUUCUCCAACUUGGCUGAAGCUCUCUGGUAGAUUUCGUGAAGUUCUGCUAAGUACUUUUCGUUUAUAGUUCUGAUCUGCAAAGACAAAGCACCAUGUGGUCACACGGUUAUUCAUUGCAGUGAUAAUCUUUGUCUUAUUGCAUCUAUCUCUUGACACUUUAAUAAGCGUAGACAGAAUUAGUACUAUAUAUAGCGAACUGAUUUUAUCUCCCAGAAUUCAUCAAGAGUAAGAGGACACUACAGAAGCAUUAACUAGAAAGAAACAACUACCUUUUGGUAAACCUCCUCUUGCCAAUCAACACCAUUUGCACUUUCCAUCUGAUGCUCAGCAUCAGAUCCUGCUGAGGUGGGAUUAUGUAAAGUAUGAGAAACUAAAGUAUUCACAAGGAUGUAGAAAAAGCAUACAUGAUGGAAUCUCCGGAAGGGUUCUUUGGGAUUGAUAUAGUUGGUCCACUACUUUUUGAGGUGGAAGCAGAGAACCUGUGACUUGACCUGAAGAUUGUAGCCUCUGUUGCACAUCCUGUUGUAGCAGAUUAGGUUGUUGUUGCAAACCUAACUGCUGAUGAUGCGACAGUUGGCCCUGAAACAGAAACAAGCCAUGAGUAGUAGCCUGAUGCAGCCCAACGGUUGGCUGUGAUAACAUGUGCACCGACUGCUGGUUAGUCUGGGAACUGAGCAACUGACGUUGUGGUUGCUGCAGUCCUGCAACACUUCUUUGAGUGCCCAAUGGUUGCUCAUGAAGGCUGCUUUGUUGAGACAUCAAAUGCUGUGGCAACUGAUAUCUCCAGUCACCAGGUUCUCCUUUUGGAACGGAAGGUCUCCAAUUGUUGUUAUCCAUCAACUGUUCCUUCCUACGUACACAAACCUUGAAGAGAAAAUAAC